rnacentral:rRNA from 1 species
UACGCCUUCAUGAAGCCGGAAUUGCUAGUAAUGGCAGGUCAGCAUACUGCCGUGAAUACGUUCCCGGGCCUUGUACACACCGCCCGUCACACCAUGAGAGUUGGGAAUACCCGAAGCCUGUGAGCUAACUUUUAGAGGCAGCAGUCGAAGGUAGAAUCAAUGAUUGGGGUGAAGUCGUAACAAGGUAGC